UUUUUAAUUGAGAUCUUGUAUGAAUGAUUGAACAAAAGAAAAACUGUCUUUAUAUUAAAGUUUGAAUUUAACUUUUAAGUGAAAAGGCUUAAAUAUUCUAAAGGGACGAUAAGACCCUAUAAAACUUUACAUUAAUAAUUAGUAUAUUAUUUAAUUUUUAUUAUAAUAAUUAAAUUUAAUUUCUUUGUUUUGUUGGGGUGACAGAAACUAUAAUUUAUUUUAACUGUUUAGAAGUAAGUCAUAAAUUUAUGAGCAAUUUAUAGAUCCUUUAUAAAGAUUUAAAGAUUAAGUUACUUUAGGGAUAACAGCGUUAUUUUUUUUGAGAGUUCAUAUCGAAAAAAGAGAUUGCGACCUCGAUGUUGAAUUAAAAUUUCUUUAUAAUGCAGGUGUUAUACGAGAGGGUCUGUUCGACCUUUAAUUUUUUAC
rnacentral:rRNA from 1 species